CGGACAGGCCCUACUAACAUUUUUCAAGAGUCUCUUUCAUUACCACAAUAUCCAUCUUCAAUUGGUUAUUACAUAAUCGGAGGAACAAGUUGAGCUGCUUUCUACCUUCGAAUUGUUUACUUGGCUGGCAUCCCGAGCUCGUUUCAAAACUGUUUGUUACCUGGUGGUGUGAUGGUUCAGGAAUCAGUAUAAUAUGUGUUCAGACACAAGCUGAUUGCAUCGAAAAAGUUUUCAAUAUCAAUCGUAAUGGAUCAAAAAGCUGAUAUUCCACUAUGCAGGAGCUCCACAUAUACUCAGUCCAAUGACUGGAUGCACAGUGAUCAUGGAUGUACAUACAGAUCACUUUGUUAUUGUGUUUGAUACCCUAAGACCCUAAGCGAGAUAUUCUGACGCCCCCUCGCCCUUGGAGUCUUUCAUGAUUUGGGGAAUGUUGCUCUGUAGUUGUGCUUUUGUUCGAUGUGAAGUUCGAGGAGAUGGCUGGUCGUCGGCCGAGAUUCUUGGAUCGUUGGGAUACUGAUGAGUUGUCGGUGGUAGGCAUGUGACUUCCUUUCUUUUUUUCUUUUCUUUUGCUUUUCCUUUUGAUAGUGCUUGAGUUGAAAGCUUUGAUCUUACUUGUGAAAUUGUUUUGUUUAUUCAGUUUUGGUGCAUCUUGUUCGGUUUGUGGUUCUUCAUCGCCACAUUCCACCGUUGUUAUGAUUGGUUUCUGGAUUGUUUUUUUUGGAAUGCUGAGGUAGAAAAGGAUGAGCGUGUCAAGAGUAAACAGCGAGUUGAAUUUAACAAGGAUGACCAACAGGCAAAUUGUUUGUUAGGGAGUAGCUCCGUGAUUUUGUCAAAGAAGUUCUAUGGUGUGUCUCGCGGAUAAAAGAUUGGUGUAUACUUGUCUUAGUCAGAGUGCGAGGAGCAAGUCCGCGGAUACAAAGGGGCUAGAUACAAGGAAUUCAAAAAGUUUGAGUGUACGAGGUGACUUACAUUAGCGUAUUUCGAUCUCAAUAACGAGAGGGGGUCUGGAGUUGUGCCCUGAAUUCGGAAGGAUAGUGUUUGAAGCCAUAUUGCUUCUCUGAUCCCUUUGGCCAGGGCUUGGGCUUUUGCAUCAAUGGAGGAUACAGCCACUAUUGAUUGUUUUUUCAAUGCCCAUGAGACUAGACCACCUAUUGAUUUGAAUAUCCAUCCCAUGAUGGAUUUUUGAUCAAUUUGGCAGUUGAUCUAGUCUGAGUCUGUAAAGCCCAACAUGGUAGGGCUUUUGCUAUGUUUGUAGAAGAUCCCGAGAUUUAGUGCUCCUUUCACAUAUCUGAGUAUUUGGUUAGCCGCAUGAAGGUGGGACACUCUUGAACUUUGCAUGAACUUGCUGAGUACCCCCGUGGCGAAGAAAAUCUCAGGUUUUGUGUUGACUAAGUAGAUCAGCAUACCAAUAAGUUUCUGAAACUUUUUGGCAUCAACUAGGGAUGCACUCUCAUCUUUACUAAGUUUCAAACCUUCUGCCAUGGAUUCCGUUGACAGUGUGCAAUCCUGCAUAUCAAAUUCUGUCAAUAUAUGGGAGGCAUAUGCUUGUUGGAAAAGGAAGAUUCCCUCCGGCUGUUGGAUGAACCCUACUCCCAAAUAAUAGGUGAUAUUUCCUAGAUCCGACAUUUUGAAUCUU